rnacentral:rRNA from 1 species
AGAGGGUGCGAGCGUUAAUCGGAAUUACUGGGCGUAAAGCGCACGUAGUCGGCUUGUCAAGUCGGGUGUGAAAUCCCCGGGCUCAACCUGGGAACUGCAUCCGAAACUGACUUGCUAGAGUAUGGGAGAGGGAGGCGGAAUUUCUGGUGUAGCAGUGAAAUGCGUAGAUAUCAGAAGGAACAUCAGUGGCGAAGGCGGCCUCCUGGACCAAUACUGACGAUCAGGUGCGAAAGCGUGGGGAGCAAACAGGAUUAGAUACCCUGGUAGUCCACGCCCUAAACGAUGACAACUGGAUGUCGGGAGGGUUUGCCUUCCGGUGUCGUAGCUAACGCGUUAAGUUGUCCGCCUGGGAAGUACGGCCGCAAGGUUG